rnacentral:rRNA from 1 species
CCUGACCUACGGGAGGCAGCAGUGGGGAAUAUUGCACAAUGGGGGGAACCCUGAUGCAGCGACGCCGCGUGAAGGAAGAAGUAGUUCGGUAUGCAAACUUCUAUCAGCAGGGAAGAAAAUGACGGUACCUGACUAAGAAGCCCCGGCUAACUACGUGCCAGCAGCCGCGGUAAUACGUAGGGGGCAAGCGUUAUCCGGAUUUACUGGGUGUAAAGGGAGCGUAGGCGGCGAUGCAAGUUAGAAGUGAAAGCCCGGGGCUCAACUCCGGGACUGCUUUUGAAACUGUGUUGCUAGAUUGCAGGAGA